GGCCCUGUGGCCCAAUGAAUAAGGCGCUGCUCUCCUAAAGCGAAGACUGCAGGUUCGAGUCCUGGUUGGGUCA
rnacentral:tRNA from 1 species